GCCCUUACGACCAGGGCUACACACGUGCUACAAUGGCAUAUACAAAGAGAAGCGACCUCGCGAGAGCAAGCGGACCUCAUAAAGUAUGUCGUAGUCCGGAUUGGAGUCUGCAACUCGACUCCAUGAAGUCGGAAUCGCUAGUAAUCGUAGAUCAGAAUGCUACGGUGAAUACGUUCCCGGGCCUUGUACACACCGCCCGUCACACCAUGGGAGUGGGUUGCAAA
rnacentral:rRNA from 1 species